AGAUGCAUCUGCUGCUGAUAUUCUGUCUUGUAUGUUCGUUGAUUGUGGAAUGUUCUACACAAAAACAGGGCGCAUGCCCACGUUGCGGCAUUAGACCUGCUGUGUGCAUAUGGGAUUGCGAGUCCGACAAUGAAUGCCCCGGCGCAAAGAAAUGUUGCCAAUGUAGCAGCUGCAUGUUCACCUGUGAGACACCAAUCUUGGACACGUAUCGUCCGUGACGUCCUGACGUCCAUGACACCACCUAUUUAGGGCUUCCUGAUAUGGGGAUCGGGGUCUAUUGAGUACAAUGAAAACCAAUGUUUUCAAAAAAGGAAGUGUUAAGAUUUUGCGUUUAACAUGUCUCGCAUAUAAUGCAAUUUAAGGACAAACAUUUGUC